CACAUGCAGUCGAGCGGAGACAGUGAGUAGCUUGCUAUGAGCUGUUUUAUCGGCGGACGGGUGAGUAACGCGUGAGCAACCUUUCCCAGACAGGGGAAUAACACACCGAAAGGUGUACUAAUACCGCAUAAGACCACGGUUUCACAUGGAACUGAGGUAAAAGAUUUAUCGGUUUGGGGUGGGCUCGCGUCCGAUUAGGUAGUUGGUGAGGUAACGGCCCACCAAGCCGACGAUCGGUAGCCGACCUGAGAGGGUGAUCGGCCACAUUGGGACUGAGACACGGCCCAAACUCCUACGGGAGGCAGCAGUGGGGAAUAUUGGGCAAUGGGGGGAACCCUGACCCAGCAACGCCGCGUGGAGGAAGAAGGUUUUCGGAUCGUAAACUCCUGUCCUUGGAGACGAGUAGAAGACGGUAUCCAAGGAGGAAGCCCCGGCUAACUACGUGCCAGCAGCCGCGGUAAUACGUAGGGGGCAAGCGUUGUCCGGAAUAAUUGGGCGUAAAGGGCGCGUAGGCGGCUCGGUAAGUCUGGAGUGAAAGUCCUGCUUUUAAGGUGGGAAUUGCUUUGGAUACUGUCGGGCUUGAGUGCAGGAGAGGUUAGUGGAAUUCCCAGUGUAGCGGUGAAAUGCGUAGAGAUUGGGAGGAACACCAGUGGCGAAGGCGACUAACUGGACUGUAACUGACGCUGAGACGCGAAAGUGUGGGGAGCAAACAGGAUUAGAUACCCUGGUAGUCCACACUGUAAACGAUGAAUGCUAGGUGUAGGGGGUAUCGACCCCUUCUGUGCCGCAGUCAACACAAUAAGCAUUCCGCCUGGGGAGUACGGCCGCAAGGUUGAAACUCAGAGGAAUUGACGGGGGCCCGC
rnacentral:rRNA from 1 species